GACGAACGCUGGCGGCGUGCUUAACACAUGCAAGUCGAACGGGAUGAUUUAGAAGCUUGCUUUUAGAGAAUCUAGUGGCAAACGGGUGAGUAACACGUAGGCAACCUGCCGACAGGAUGGGGACAACAUUCCGAAAGGAAUGCUAAUACCGAAUGAAGCGCAGGAGAGGCAUCUCUCCUGCGUGAAAGAUGGCCUCUAUUUAUAAGCUAUCACCUGUCUAUGGGUCUGCGUCUGAUUAGCUGGUUGGUGAGGUAACGGCUCACCAAGGCGACGAUCAGUAGCCGGUCUGAGAGGAUGAACGGCCACAUUGGGACUGAGACACGGCCCAGACUCCUACGGGAGGCAGCAGUGGGGAAUCUUCCGCAAUGGGCGCAAGCCUGACGGAGCAACGCCGCGUGAGUGAAGAAGGUCUUCGGAUCGUAAAGCUCUGUUGAUGGGGACGAACGUGCGAAGGGUGAAUAAACCUUUGUAAUGACGGUACCUGUCGAGGAAGCCACGGCUAACUACGUG
rnacentral:rRNA from 1 species